UACAGAGGGUGCAAGCGUUAAUCGGAAUUACUGGGCGUAAAGCGUGCGCAGGCGGUGAUGUAAGACAGAUGUGAAAUCCCCGGGCUCAACCUGGGAACUGCAUUUGUGACUGCAUCGCUGGAGUGCGGCAGAGGGGGAUGGAAUUCCGCGUGUAGCAGUGAAAUGCGUAGAUAUGCGGAGGAACACCGAUGGCGAAGGCAAUCCCCUGGGCCUGCACUGACGCUCAUGCACGAAAGCGUGGGGAUCAAACAGG
rnacentral:rRNA from 1 species